rnacentral:tRNA from 1 species
GGGUAGUUAGCUCAGCGGCAGAGCGUCUCGUUUACACCGAGAGGGUCGGGGGUUCAAAUCCCUCACUACCCACCA